GACGAACCGAGCGAACGUUGUUCGGAAUAACUGGGCUUAAAGGGCGCGUAGGCGGGCCGCCAAGUUCGAGGUGAAAUCCUCCGGCUCAACCGGAGAACUGCCUCGAAUACUGGAGGUCUCGAGGGUGGUAGGGGCACGCGGAACUAACGGUGGAGCGGUGAAAUGCGUUGAUAUCAAGAGGAACACCUGAGGUGAAGACGGGUUGCUGGGCUGACACUGACGCUGAGGCGCGAAAGCUAGGGUAGCAAACGGG
rnacentral:rRNA from 1 species